UAAUAAUAUAUCUCUCUCUCACUAUUCCCCUUAUCUGCGCCGCGCCCCCUCCCCUCCCAUCUCACUAUCUCUCUCUCAGAUUUCAUCCCUCUCUCUCAGCCCUAGGUCCCGCCGCCCAGCCACUUUGCUCCAUCGCCGGAGCCCGGCAGCUCCAUCGCGGCCAACCGCCAUCUUCUCCCUCCUCUCCCUUUUCUUUCUAUCACUUUCUCUCUUCUCACACCCAACGCACACACCCAGAUCCGCACUCAAAUCAGCGGCGUGGGUGCCGCCGCUCGUCCUUCCCGGCAAAGCAACGUCGAUAAGCCGCUGACACGCCAGGCUCUCCCUUCUCUCUCUCGGCGGCAUAACCGCCUCAUCUCCUUUACCCCUCUGACUUAGAUCGGCGACGGUGAGAGCCUCCGCCGUCUGAGCCCUAGCCCCAAUCACGGCUCCCACAGAAUCCUUCGGCCGCCGCCACCGCUCGUUCUCCCCUUCAAAUCUUCAACCGACAGCAGCAGAGUCGCGGCCGCCGCCGUCCGUCUGCCUUGGUACAGCCUCAUCGGCGAUGCUGUCACUCAAGGUAAGCUUCAAUCUACGAUUCCACUCUUCCGAGUUGCGAGUAUGUUAACUCAGUUCUCGGUCUUUUUGUUUGCGUAGGGAAAGAGAGCAGCACAGAUCUGGUGGCCUUGGGGUGGUUGAAGUGGAGGAAGCCGCGCGGAGAGGUGGAGGUGCCGAGGUACUGCGAUAAGGCGCCGGAGACUACUAUUAUAAAAGGGUGUUAAAGCUCAUAUUUUCCUUUCAAACUCAGACGAAAAUCUGCAUCCUAAUCAUUCUUCUCCUGAUUUUCUUCUGCUGGUAGCUUUUGGUGUUAUAUUCUUGGCGAUUCAUCUUCUUUAUAGCUUUGAGAAAUCGCUUGUGUAGUUUGCCCGCUAGAUGUUCGACAGAAUGCUUGAUAGAGUGUUCUCUUUUCUUCAAUCCUUUUUUCUUAUUUUCUGCUGCAUUUUUUUUAAUACCAAGCUUACAAAGCUGUUCUUGUUAAUGCAGCGGCUACUAGAAGUGAUCGAGUCGCGGAUGGUGGAGCAAUCGGAGGAGAGACCGGAAUACAUGAAGGUGUCCUUGGAUAUGUUCUCGUUGAUCUCCUGCGUUAGAGGGACGUUCUUCACCAUAUUCUAGUUUGAUGAAUAAUAAGUUCAAAUGUUGGAUGAAAUUUGUGAUGUUGGAUUAAAUUUGUUUGAAUGUAAUAUUGGAUUAAUAAUGUUUGAAUGAAGAUUCAAAUGUUCGAUGAAAUUUGUGAUGUUGGAUGAAAUUUGUUUGAAUGUAAUAUUGGAUUAAUAAUGUUUGAAUGAAUGUAUGGAUUUUUAUUAUUAAUAUAUGC
rnacentral:lncRNA from 1 species